UUUCUUAUUCUUCCUCCUCUUCGUCCUCCCAUGGUUUCUCAGUCACGAGCGACGCCUCUUCUGUCGGUGGUGUCCACAAUCUCAUAGAGCGUUAGCCUCUCGCUCGGCCGCUCGGGCUCCUUGGCGAUUCCGUUUUUCCACUGAAGAUGGAAGUUCGUUGGGGUCGAUUUGGAUCUCGAUGGCGCCAGAAAUUCAACGGCUGUCAAUGGUAGUCGAUCGGCGAGGUGGUUCUGGUCCUUUUUUUCAAAUCGCAGAAGAACUACAGGUCGCAGAAGAGGUCGUAUCCCUUCUUUCAUUUUUUCCUUAUUCUUCCUCCUCUCCGUUUGGAAGAGGGUUUUUAUUUUAAAUCACUAUUUUGAUUCUCUGUGUUUUAUGAUAAAUUCUAUUUUAUUUUUUCUGUUUGGAAAUCGUUGGAGUUUUUUAUUUUGGUUAAUUUUGAGUUUUAUAAUUUUCUGCGUAGUUUUUUAAUAGUUUGUUUUAUUGUUAUUAGGUUGAGACCAGAGUGCAGAGUGCAGAACUCUUGGAAAAGUUUUUUGUUGUGUUAUUGAGCGGCUGUUAAUGGGAGCUGAUCGGUGAGGUGAUUCUGGUCUUUUUUUUGGGUUGCACAGGAACUACAGGUCGCACAAGAGGUCAUUUUCCUUUUUUCUCGAUGUUUGUGAUUUUCCGUGAUUUUGAUUUGUUUUAUAGUUCGUUUGUUUUUUAAGUUUGUGGAGGGAUUUUUGUUGUCUUAUUUUUGCCCUUUAUCUGAUUCUGGUCUUUUUUCAGGUUGCAUAGGAACUACAGGUCGUACAAGAGUUCGUUUUCCUUUUUUUUUCAAUGUUUGUGACUUUCUGUGAUUUUGGUUUAUUUUAUGAUUUUUAAGUUUGUGGAGGAGUUUUUGUUGUGAUAUUUUUGUCCUUCAUCUGAUUAUCAUUUCUUCUUGGUGUAGUUUGGUUUGAUAUUUGAGAUUGGCUAUGAUCAGUGUGAUAGUGUUGAGUUUAUUUGGAAGAGGGUUGUUAUUUUAAAUCACUAUUUUGAUUCUCUGUGUUUUAUGAUAAAUUCUAUUUUAUUUUUUGUGUUUGGAAAUCGUUGGAGUUUUUUAUUUUGGUUAAAUUUUGAGUUUUAUAAUUUUCUGUGUAGUUUUUUAAUAGUUUGUUUCAUUGUUAUUAGGUUGAGACCAGAGUGCAGAGUGUAGGACUCUUGGAAAAGUAUUUUGUUGUGUUAUUGAGGUAUUUUCUGACUGAAAUUGAGGGAGCUGAGCAAAAAUCUGAGUUAGGCUGAAAAAGGACUGCUGAUGCUGUUGGAUUCUGACCUCUUUGCACUCGAAAUGGAUUUUCUGGAGCUACAGGAGUCCAAUUGGAGCGCUCUCAACGGCGUUGGAAAGUAGACAUCCAGGGAUUUUCAGCAAUAUAUAAUAGUCCAUACUUUGCGCGAAGAUAGAUGACGUAAACUGGCGUUCAACGCCAGUAUCAUGCUGCUAUCUGGCGUCCAGCGCCAGAAACAGGUUACAAGCUGGAGUUCAACGCCAGAAACAGGUUACAACCUGGCGUUGAACGCCCAAAACAGCCCCAGGCACGUGAGAAGCUUAAGCCUCAGGCCCAGCACACACCAAGUGGGCCCCAGAAGUAGAUUUCUGCACCAUUUAUCAUAGUUUACUCAUUUUCUGUAAACCUAGGUUACUAGUUUACUAUUUAAACAACUUUUAGAGAUUAACUCUGGACCUCAUGACAUUUUCAGAUCUGAAUUUUAUACAUUUU